CCUACGGGAGGCAGCAGUGAGGAAUAUUGGUCAAUGGGCGCGAGCCUGAACCAGCCACGUAGCGUGAAGGAUUACUGCCCUCCGGGUUGUAAACUUCUUUUAUAAAGGAAUAAAGUGAGUCACGUGUGCAUUUUUGUAUGUACUUUAUCAAUACGGAUCGGCUAACUCCGUUCCAGCAGCCGCGGUAAUACGGAGGAUCCGAGCGUUAUCCGGAUUUAUUGGGUUUAAAGUGAGCGUAGAUGGGUUGUUAAGUCAGGUGUGAAAGUUUGUGGCUCAACCGUAGAAUUGCAAUUGAUACUGGCAGCCUUGAGGACAGGUGAGGUAGGCGGAAUUCGUGGUGUAGCGGUGAAAU
rnacentral:rRNA from 1 species